UUCAUUAUGGUACUUUUAUUGGCUCAUAGGCAUUAUCAACACACAGGCAUGAUUUCAAGAGCAUGAACUUGAUUUCCUAAGACUCUAUCAGUGCUAUUUAGCUGGAAUUUUCAUGUUGCCCAGAACAUAUCACAUAGUUUAGAGCAAUACAGAACCAGAAACACAUCUUCUGGAAACAUGCACAUGAAAGCAUUGCAGACACAAAAUAAAAGUAGAUUUUUUUUUUUUUUUGCCUACCUACAUCCCAUUCUUCAGUAGGCCAAAUAGUUUUGCCAGCUAUUACAGGAUUUUAUGCUUAAUUAUUUACACACAGACUUCAGAAAAAAAUCAUACAGUAUAAGCACACAAGAAAGUAGCAUUGCCAGUAUUUGUGCAAUUGGAAAAACAUAUAUAUGAGUAGAGUUACCAAUUUCUGCAAUGUAGUUUUUUAUAUGCAGAAAGAAACAGAGGGAAUGUAAUACACAAUAAAAUCAAGGUGACUAUUGACAGAAAAAAACAAUCUUUAUUUUUUUUUGUUUUGCUUUUCAUGAAUCAAUUUGUGUCCUACUUAUCACUUUUUUUUUUCCUGAGGAAAGUAAUUUUUUUUUACAGGAAAGCACCCAGCCUCCUCCUACAAGCACUCUCAUUUGUUCUGGGCAAGAAAAACAUGGAUAGAAAAUUGACUUACCUAGGGAUAUAGAAAAACUGUAAAGCAGAGAGGAAGACCAGCCUUUCCCAGCUUAGCAAACACUGCCCAAGGAAAACAAAUAAUUCUCCUCUAUAAAGGCUACUGCCCCUUCACUCCUAUUUAAGGGCAGAUGCAGUGCUAUAUUUAGAACUAACCAAGUGAUUCUCCCAAAACUGGGGUCAGCCUAAUAUGUAAUAAGGGAGUGAUAUAGAGGAAAAAGAAAAGCCCUAGCCUAUAUGGAGUUUAAUACUGAAUUUUAAUAAAAGACAAACCUCAUUCCUUUAAAAAGCGAUUGCUUAUGUUAAAAAUUGGGUUUCUUUCCCUAGCAACACCAAGCACAUGGGAAGCAAUUGGAUGCCAGAAAAUAGUUUAAAUUUUAUUUAGAAAAGUUUGAAGUUUUAAAAUAAUCAGUAACUUGAAGACUAGUGAGGACAAAAAUGUUCGAGAAUAUUAUUAGUAGAAACAUGAGAUCCCUUGGUGCUUUGGGCUGUAAAAUGAGCCUCCCUAUUGCUUCCUUAAGAGCUCUCUGGAUGUGAGAAUGUCUGCAACAUAUGAAGGCAUAUCAGUUGUAAAAAACCCCUAUUAUUCCCAUAUCUAUUACAUCACAAGUCAAUCUGAGCGAGAUUUUUCUAUGUCUUGUAGGUAAAGUAGGAAGAAUUUAAUAUGCAUAGAGGCAUAAGCAUGCAGAGUUAAAAAUACAGCCAAAGCAGUCAGCUCUAUGAGACCUUGGUGGUCCCUGAUGGUUCCCGAUUUUACCAACUAAAAUGGAUGCUUUCUGCCUGUAGGGCUCCAAGGUUUCUGUCCAGAAGCUACAAGGCACCACUGUGGUGGCUCUGACAUGUCCAGAUGGGAGGAGGUAGCAGCACUGGCUCUGCAGAGCGGGUAGACUUGGGAUCAGCCACUCUGCCCCAUUCUGGUGGUAGUCAGGCCCACAGGGAUUGCAUCCAUAUGGGGGAUGGAAGGGUGGGACCUCUCACAAGGCUUUGUGAAAAGCAUGAAUAAUUAAUCACCUUCCUCUUAUUCUGUCUGGAAACAGGACAACAUGUCUGAGAACACCUGGCUAUAUGGCAGACCUAAUCACACCUCAUGACAGCCCACAAUGACUCAAAUAAUCAGUGAGUCAGCAACAUACAAACCGUAGAGAAUUAAUUGAUCUUAAAAUUGUUUGAAAAUAACAAGAUCUACUUUCAAUUUACUUAUACAGAAAUCUGGUCAUUGUCAAAGUCACUAAAUGACAAUCUCUUCCACUGCUUGGUAUGUGACACUUGGAUACAUGAACAAUAUUCUUUUUAAGUCAUACAUUCUUCUUAUGUAUACAUAUAGGGAAGCAGAGCAAGAGGUAGAAAAGCCUUUAAAUCACUGAUUCUUAUCCCAUCUGCAGUGUUCAUCUAAAUUUCCUAAAUAGCUCUGGUAAGGAUCUUUCUUACUUUUUUAUCAUCUAGAGCUACUAUUUGCUUGAAACAGACUUCUCCCUUUCUCCCAUUGAUCUUGAAUUAUAAUUCAGUCUGACAGAAUUAGAUCUACAGAGACAGACAGAGUGGAAUGACUGCAUAUGCCCUGAAUGUAGAUGUUGCUUCAGAAGCAGCUGUCAAAGUAAUUAGCAUGUAAUAAUCCAGAGCAAACCCACUUUACUUACGCAGCUCCAUCUCUUCUCUCCUAUUGAAUUUUCCUGUGGGAGGUAAAAGGUCAUUUUUCAGGAAAAUAUUAAAGUUCUCACUACGCUCUGCUUUUCAUUUCUCAUUCUAUAUUUAUUAUCUUUACAGAAAUGGAGGCAUUUACAGCCUACUCUGUCUGCCUUUACACUUGAGCACUCUUCUAUUUUAAGUUUUCUUCAGGGUGUGGCUGGAUGACAAAAAUAUGGAAGUACAUCCUAAGGACUGUGGGAAAAAUGCCAAAUGCAAGAACAAGCUAUGUAGGAGGGUCAGUCCCAGGCUGUGUCCAGGAAAGACAAUAAAUAAAUUCUUCUCUUCAUGCACAUUACAAAAUAAAAUAGAAGGGAAAACUGCAAUAUUGUGUUACUCACUGGUGGUGAACUUUAGGCAGCAGAGCACAAAAAAUUAUUCAGCAUUUUAACUAUGAAAUAAUUUACAUUAUAUAUUCCUACUUCCCCCCUAAUACAGAAGGUGCCUUCUCCUGAUCCUUCCACUUCCCAAACAGAUCUUCCCUAAGAACUUUUCUAAAGCAGAGAUUUAACAGGGUAUCAAAAGGAUUACUCAAGCAUUGUAAACUUAGCAUGUGCUAAAAUCCUUCUGUGAAUUUGGUAUUUUAGAAUUAUUUCUUUAUCUUCUGACAGUCUCUUGAUGUAGGUUGCUUAACUGAUACAGGCCUACGUAAUGUCUCAACUACUCCAGCAAAGGGAAGGACAAAGAACUGAAAUGGAGCUCAGGAAAAAGAGGUGUUAUCAUUUUAGCCAUUGGAUUAAACAUCAAAACAGUAAUGAAAUGAAAUGUAACAGUGUUAAAAGAGGUAUGUUUUCAGCCUAUAAGGGUGUCUUAAUAGUGGCCUUGUGCUUUUAUCUUUCUCCGGUUCCAGGAAAGCCUAAUGCAUCUUUGUAUGACAGCUUCUGAAGCCCAGCUUUGUUAAUAUGUUAGCUACUGAUUUCUUCAAAUGCUUGUUGCAUAUUCAUAGCUUCAUAUAAAUUAAAAGCUUAGUAACUAGCAAUGAGGUUCCUCAUCUCUGCAGCAGAUCUAUUAUUCACUCAGCCCUAUGGUGAGGUUUCUAAAGCCAUGCUAGAACAAUGGAUACUGUGCGCUGGUGAUCUUAGAGCAGUCUCUCUUCACAGUUACCCAAGUCCCAGCAUCUCCCUUGGUAUUACAAAUGAAAGACAAAACAGUGCAUGCAAAUUCAAGCCCAUAAAAAUUAAAUCAUGUUCUUUCCUCUGUUGGUGCCUUUGGUCAGAAAGUCAGGAUUAUCAGUUAUGGCCUCCACAUAUGAACCCAAUCAAAUGUGUCUCAUUCAGAGAAGAAUACCACCGCCUGAAAGACUGAACUCUGAACAGUUUUGGAGGAACUGUACUUGCUCAUGAAGAUGGGGUAGCAAGAGAGCAGUAACAGAUGCACUUACUGCUGAUAGCACUGUAAAUGUGCAGUAAAGCACAAAUUCCCAAGGGAAAUACACCUUACUGCUUCCUUCAAGUGGGGAGAGAACAAACCCAUGCUGACUUCUAAGAAGCCUAAGCACUUAUCUCUCUACCGCCUCUUUUCUUUUCUGCUUUUUUUUUUGUUUUGUUUUUCUUGGUGCAUUUUCUCUUAUUCUACUAGAACUUCCUGAUUUUCAAUGCCCAACUUGCAAGUAUUUUAAGGCUGGCUUCAUGCAGCUGAAAAUUGUCAAAAUCUUAAACUACCCUUCCCAGACUAUGCUGUGUGGAGAUGAGACCAGAGAAGAGUCAAGUAAUUUGGAGGAGGAGGAAAAUACACUUCCAACUAAGAGAAGGGUGUACAACUCCCAGGAGAGAGGACAAUGGUAGCUGAAGGAAAACAAAACAACAACAAAACCCCUGCAUUAGAUGCAAGAUGUUUUAAACAGCCAGAAAAGGAUUUUCAAUCAGCAAUUAAUCUGAGCUAAACUGAACUGAACCCAGAACAUCAAACAAUUUUAGCAUAAGUCUUUGAACAAACACUAAAAUACCUGAGCAUACAAAGUGUUGGGAAUUUUUCCCUGCAACAUAAGGCAAAAUGGAUCUCUUAGUAAGUAUCUCAUUUAUAUCUAAGACAAACAGAGCAUAGAGCUACAAUUCACUGAGUUACAGCAAAUCAAUUAUUUUUUAAGAUACCUAAACAGUAAUGUGUCCCCCUGCUGUCCAAGAAGCCACUUUAAAGCCCAUCAGAGUCAGUGCUAAGGUUUUACUGACUCAGGAAAGCUGAGAUUCCUGUCCUUUUUGAUUUAAUACCAGCUCAGUGGCAUCUCUUCAUUUACCUUUACAAUGACACCUGUACAAAGACAAGGACUAUAAAGAUGUCUAUCUUAUCCUGGUAUAUUUAUUCCAGUUUCACACAACAGGCUUGGCAGGUACCUGCUGCUGCAACAGUUACCUUUAUCAACUAACCCCAGUAUCAUCAGCAGCACAUUAAAUCUAGAGAACCACAGGCUGUUAGAAGGCAGAGACAGGGACUAACACUGCAGUGCAGGGUUUUGCCACACUUGGAAAUGAAGGCAAGGCAGCUGCCCUUCAAAUUCCACCAUUAAGCAGCACCAUUCAAAGAUGGUUUUAAUGUCCUCAAGCUUCAGGAGCUGCCAGCUGUGGGGUUACUUCUCGUAACAGCAUUUACAUACAGGAUUCAUAUCAGACAAGCACAGACAACUGAGGCACAGAAUCAGAGAAUGUUUGAGGUUGGAAGGGACCUCUGAAGGUAAUCUUGUCCAGCACAGUUCUCCAACAAGGCUAGUUGGAGCUGGUUGUCCAGGACCACAUCCAGAUUUUGAACAUUUCCAUAGAUGAAGACUUGUGGUGGUUUUGGCUGUGGUAGAAUUAUUUUUCUUCCCAGUGGCUGAUAUAGAGCUGUGAUUUGGUUUUUUUCUGAACAUAGGGUUGAUAAUAAAUGCUUCUGUUAUUGCUGAGCAGGGCUUGCACAGAGACAAGGCCUUUUCUGCUUUUCACGCUGUCAUGCUGGUGAGGGAGCUGGGGGUGCAUGAGAGGCUGGGAGGAGACACAGCCAGGACAGGGGACCCAAAUUGACCAGAGGGAUAUUCCAGACUGUAUGACAUCAUGCUCAGUAUAUAAAAUGGAGGGAAGAAGGGAGAAGGAGGGGACAUUUGGAGUGAUGAUUCUUGUCUUACCAAGUAACUACUGCGUGUGAUGGGGGGUCUCAGAUUCAGUCAAAGAGAGAAACUGAGAGUUUCUAGCUAGGCAGAAGCCUGGGAAAGAGCUGGAGAAGAAUGUAAAUAAUUCUUUAUCUCUCUUUUUUUUCACAUUGUUUAUAGUUAAGUUCUAUCACUGUGCAUCAAGCACUUUACACCAAUGCUGUGGUUUGUUUCCACUUACGAACCAAUGGAGUUGGUCUUCACAGAGCUCUGUAUUAAAGAGUGGUGUAUUUUGAAUAAAUCAGAGGUUUAUUCUCAGCAGCCUUCUGAUCAGAGUCUUCUCAUUCCUGUCCUGCCUUGACAGCGACAUCGCUGUCCUGGAGAUGGCUGAACAACUGCCUGCCCUUGGGAAGAAGUGAAUUCCUUGGUUUGCUGUGCUUGUGUUUCCAGCUUUUGCUUUUCCUUCUAAAGCAUCUUUAGCUCAACCCAGGAGUAUGUUUACCCUUCCAAUUCUCUCCCUGACCCUGCUGGUGGGAGUGAGCAAGCAGCUGUGUGGGGUUUGGCUGCUGGCUGGGAUUAAAUCAUGACAAGAAUACAAAAACUCUCUGGGCAGCCAAGGCCAGCUCAGGGGUACUUUCACUGUAGGGAAAAAAAAAAAAAAAGUUUUCUAAUGUUCUUAACUUCUGUGUUUGAGUUUGUGUCUCUGAAUGGAACUGCCUCUGGUUCUGUCUCCUUCUCUUGGGCUGACAGAAGCUGAAGGUCACUGGUGAAGGCACAGACAUGACACCCUCCAGGUUCACAAGUACACACACAUUUGCUGUCUGGUUGCCUACUCUCUGUCUGAGCCAGUGCUUGCUGAAAACACAUGCACACUCUCAUGAUGGCUGAUGUUGCAGGCACCCCACACCCAUGAGUGCCCCCAGAUAGCUAUAUGUAGAGUAUAAGGGCACCUAAAACCCCCAGUCUGAUACCAAAACCUGGCAGCCACUCCCCCCAGUAAGUGGUAGUCAGUCCAUGCAGUACUCACACACAUGGAUGAAGAGCGAGAUAGUUAAGAAAGGUUUGAAUAAAGCCAGGACAGACUGUGGUGAUCAGGCACAGUGCUCAUUCAUAUACGUGUACUUUAUAUGCAAUCAACCCCUUUCAUAGCCCUUUCUGGGUGAUCCUAUCUUUGUUCCUCUGAUUUCUUCCCCUAAACCUUUCUUCAUCGUUUUAUGCAGGUCUACCAAUUCUCACACCUUUGGUCCAGCACUCGGGAUCUUUGCUUAGCCCAUCUCAACAUCUCCAGGUAAAAUCUUCUCACACUCCAUAUAUCCUCACACAGAUAAUGUGGAAGUGCUCUGCUCCUGUUUCACACGGGAAAAGGAGAAGGAAAGGAAUGCAUACAGAUCACAUGACUGCGCCUGCUUUAUGAGUCCAACGUGAGAACUGACAUGAAAACUUCAAAUGGUAUCAAGUUCAGUCAUAUCCUUCUAUUCAAGGUCAAUGAACUUUUUAUGGCAUAUCCAACAGUUCAUGUCACUGAAAGCACAUAGCUAUGAUGUGAUGUCCCAUGCCACACAAUAUACUGCCUGACAUAUAUGAUCAUUACUGUACUUUAGAAUAAUGAACUUUUACUGUAUUCCUGGAAGCAGAUUACAAAAAUUAUAUGUUUUUAUUUCAGAACUAAAUGACUUAUAUCCACAAUAUCUCCAAGGAAUGGAGAUCUGACAAGAUUUCACUGUAAAUGAGCAAGAACUAUUGCAAAUGCAGAUCAGGAACAGUUUUCCUAAGGAGCUAUAUCAGCUGGAUCCCUUAACUCCUAUUCCUCACUAUUGCUGGAUGUCUUUGAUUCUGUAGUUACUAUAAGCAAAAAGAGUGAGUUUACCAUAAGACUAAUGGUCUCAGGCAGGCCCCAAAUUUACACUGUUUUGAUAGAUUUUCAUAUUUUUAGUAAGAACCAAGAAAGAAACCACUGUUUAGCAGGAGUGUUAAUGAACCAUGCUGAUUCUUCUCCAACUGCUCAGUAGUUGCUUCUCUAGGUCUUCAAGAGCAAUGCCAUAGUGCAUAAAAAACAAAGCAGGACUUCAUUACGUUUUCAUACUGAAGAGAUCUACUUGAUUAUUCCAUCCCAAUCUGCAACUACUGUUUCUGUCCAUGGUCCAUAUAAUGGUGCUUCAGGUCAAGCCACCUUUGGAGGUCACCAGUUCUCUCCAUUGCUGCUACUGCUCCUGCUGUACAGCUGUGAGUAUUCCUAAUGGGGAGGUUUUGCUAAACUUUUUGUCCAUGCCAUUUCACUAAUCUUCUCACUCUUGGCCAAUCAGUUGUCACUAAAUCAGUCAUCCACUAGUGUCCUUGACUCAUUUGACACAGACUCAUUUCAUUUCAAAGGGUGCUUUUACCCAAAUAAAAACUAGGAUUCCCCAUGCAAACACUGUUCACAUUAAAACAAAACUUAGAAAAGUUAUUCUUAAUUUGUUCUCUUUUUUUCAUCAUUCAUCCAGACUAGGUCUUGUUACACAUAAUGACCUGCUGAGUAUUCCUCUGCAACUAUAUUUUAAUCACAGGUGAUGUUUACAUUACUGAUUGAAGAGCUUGCAGAUAUAAGUACAUAUAUUUUGACUUCUACCUUACUGCUAUCUGAAUAAAACAAUUUUUCUAUUAUUCUUAACUUUAAUCUGAGAUAGCUAUGUGUUCCAGAUACACAGAUAGCUUGAGAUGGCAAUAAAACUUUUGCACUACCUGUCUCUUUUACUCUGAUUUUCUACUGCAAUUAGGCAGCAUUAGGUACCACCAGUAUCUGGUAUCUACUGUAACAUAUCCUAAAUAAAUGGUAGGCAGAUUCAGAGAGCUGCAAGACCAAAGCAGGCUUUCAUCCAGCUUCAUAAAUAUCUUGAGGCUUACGUCAUAUCAGAACGGCACAGAAUGUAAAGCUCUGAAUGCUUAGGACAGCUGUCCUCCUUCCCUGCCUCGGUGGCCUUUCUGAUUACACUUGUACCCAAUCCCAUCCACUGGCAGUGUUUCCCAAGUGACACAAAUACUGCAGCAGCACAGGAGACGAAAAAAUCUUGUGCUGAGUGUAGUCGUCAAGAUGUCUGGGUAUUUAUGACAGGACAACAACAGCAACAUCACAACAUCACACUGAGUCUGCCUAGAACCCCAGUGAGCUCCAUAAGUAAUAGGUCAUUGUUCUUUGCCUGACAAAGGGACCCAAAUCAGCUGCCUGCAAUUUCCAAUGCAUAGGAACUCUUGACUGGAAACAUAUAGCUUGAGGCCAGAGUGUCAUAAUCAUCACUGUCUUAUUUAUACCUCAGAGUCUAUUCAGUUGUAUUGGCUACUUUUAUGCAGUGAUACCAUGCAAUUGAUAAGACAUAUGGUUAAAACAUCAGGUGGCUGAAGUACUUGUGCUAUAAAAGGAAAUAGGUGUUAAUUUCGACGUAUCCAAGAAUUAAUCCUUAUUUAUUGCUCAUGCUUUUCUCCAACUCUUAAUUAUGUUUACUGUAUGUAAAAAAAUGUGCCUUUUAAAAUAAAAUUUUAAUUUGCUCAGCAUUACCUUCCACACAGUAGUUUUUUGCUGGCUUCUCAGAUUUAAAAAAACACAGUAUUUUCUUCCUCUGAAGGUGCUCACAUACUAACCCUCAAACUUCACGUUCCCACUGCUAUUGCACUGCAAUUGCUAGACAGGAUAUUGGUUUUGGACUGUAUUCUGUCACUGCAGCCUACUAGCACAAAGAAGUCAGGACUUCUGUGAACAAGGUAGCUAAAAACCAAAUAAUAAAAAUAAGUUCGGGGUUUAGAUGUUUAUGUAGUUGUAAUUUUCCAGAUGUGUGAAAAAAAGAGAAUGAUUCUUUGAAGAUACUGCAAACAGGCAAUGAACAAGGAAAUUGGAACUAUGUGUUGACAUAAUAGUGGACAGUCCCCUGGAGAUGAGAGACAGAUAUAGUUCAUGGUAUACAUUAGCAGUGGAAGAAAUAGUUUGCAGUGAUACCUAACCAGCAGUGUGCCUUUGUGUCUUUCUCCAACUUUUUAUUGUAUUUAGUGUAAAAGCAUUGUGCUGUUUUUUUCUAGAGUUGAAAUUUACCUAUCAUUACCUUCCAUGCAGUAAUUAAUAUUAGAGAAGCAGUAUGAACUUGCCAGCAGUGUGUCUUUCUGGCCAAGAAGGCCAAUAAUAUCCUGGGGUGUAUUAGGAAGAGCUUUUCCAGCAGGUCACAGGAGGUGAUCUUGCCCCUGUGCUCAGCCUGGUGAGGCCAUGUCUGGAGUGCUGAGCCCAGUUCUGGGCUCCUCAGGACAAGAGAACCAUGCAGCCCCUGGAGCAGGUCCAGCAGAGGGCUAUGAAAAUGAUUAAGUGUCUGGAACAUCUUGUACAAGGAAAGGGUGAGGGAGCUGGGCCUGUUCAGCCUCAAGAGGAGAUGACUGAGAUAGUUACAGGUAUCUGAAGGGAGGGUGUCAGGGGAUGUUUCCAGGCUCUGGUCAGUGGUGCCCAGCAAUAGGACAAGAGGCAGAAACUGAUGCACAGAAAGUUCCACAUGAACAUGAGGAUGAACUCCUCCACUGUGCAGGUGACUGAGCACUGGAGGAGAUUGCCCAGAGAGGCUGUGGAGUCUUCUUCACUGGAGAUAUUCAAGAACCAUUUGGGCACAAUCCUGUGCCAUGUGCUUUAGGAUGGCCCUGCUUGAGCAGGGACGUUGGACCACAGGAUCUACUGUGGUCCCUUCCACAUGAGCCUUCUCUGAUUCCGUGAUUCUGCUACCAAAAAAAAAAAAAAAA
rnacentral:lncRNA from 1 species